rnacentral:rRNA from 1 species
UAGAGUUUGAUCCUGGCUCAGGUUGAACGCUGGCGGAGUGCUUUACACAUGCAAGUCGAACGGUGACACGGGUGCUUGGCUCCGGCGGCAAUUGGGGAAAGGGGGAGAAUUGCGUCUGAACGUACCGCCCCAAGGGGGAUAACACGCGUUAGAUACCACUUCUACCACCUAAUCCCAGACGGGAAAGGUGCUUCAUCGCAAGACCUCAAUUUCUUCUCGCGAUGAACUCCUGAUUUAUUAGCUGGUGGGGGAAUGAAUCACCAACGCAAGCAUCAACAGCGAGUCUGACAGAAAGAUCCACCACACUGGCA